rnacentral:rRNA from 1 species
GUGGGGAAUCUUAGACAAUGGGGGAAACCCUGAUCUAGCCAUGCCGCGUGAGCGAUGAAGGCCUUAGGGUUGUAAAGCUCUUUCAGCUGGGAAGAUAAUGACGGUACCAGCAGAAGAAGCUCCGGCUAACUCCGUGCCAGCAGCCGCGGUAAUACGGAGGGGGCUAGCGUUGUUCGGAAUUACUGGGCGUAAAGCGCGCGUAGGCGGACCAGAAAGUUGGAGGUGAAAUCCCAGGGCUCAACCUUGGAACUGCCUUCAAAACUCCUGGUCUGGAGUUCGAGAGAGGUGAGUGGAAUUCCGAGUGUAGAGGUGAAAUUCGUAGAUAUUCGGAAGAACACCAGUGGCGAAGGCGACUCACUGGCCCAAUACUGACGCUGAGGCGCGAAAGCGUGGGGAGCAAACAGGAUUAGAAACCCCAGUAGUCC